GGUUUCUAGGCCUUAUAAAUAGGCUUCUUAUGUAUUAUGUAGAGGUAAGAUAGUACAUUAUUUAUAAAAGACAAAUGGCUCAUUUUGGCCCUUAAAUUUUAGGCCAAUAGUCAUAUUAGUCGCUGGCAAAAAUUUACCGUCAAAUAGGUCAUUCAACUCUCAAUUUCUAUCAAAUAAGUCCAAUGUUGAUGAUGUUAAUUAAUGAUAAUAGAAAAAUUAGUAAAGUAAGUUUUUAAUAAAUAAAAUAUUGUUU
rnacentral:misc_RNA from 1 species